UGAAAGACUCCCAUGUUAAAAUAACAUGAUUUUUAGAGAGACAGUUUUUGCAGGUCCCAUUGUGACAUUUGAAUGGACGAGACAGCCUUGUCAGGAUGCCUAGAAUGCUCACACAGUAAGGAAAAUGUUACUGGAAAAAGCAGAAAUACUGCCGGAGAGAUAAGCCAUUGGAAUAUUUGCCAGAUGGACAAACUUGGAAUCAAGGAAUUCAAGUAUGACUUUUAUAGGAGAGAAGAUGUUUGGCAGCUGUAGUGCUUAAAAUGAUGGGCAUUGAACAGAGACAGCACCUAGUGGUUUAUGAGUCAGGAGAGAAGACACCGUUCUCAUCCCUGACUCCUGCCUGUGGAUAUUGUCCAUUGAUACACAGCAAGGCCCUGGACAAGUCUAUGUCUUCUCAUCAGAUACAUUUUUCCUUCAAAAUGGCUCAACCAGAAAAUGUUCCAUGGGUCACAUGGACAAGAUUCUUAGAAGAAUUAGGAAAAAGUGAGGUUGCUGAGGGAAGACAAUUAGGAAACCGUGCUGGGGAAGCUGUUCUUUAUUCUUCACAAAAAAUCUGAAACUUGCUGGCUUGGAAUCUUUCUGAAUUCCAAGGUCUGUUGUUGCUCUAGUAUUCUGAAUGUCUCUGCCAUCAGCUUAGUC
rnacentral:lncRNA from 1 species